rnacentral:tRNA from 1 species
GCAGCCAUGGCCCACUGGUUAGCACUCUGGACUUGUAACCAGAGGGUUGCCGGUUCAAGCCCCGUGGGCCGCG